AAAUAAAUAAAUGAAUAAAUAAAUAUAAUUUUAUUUAUAAAUAUAUAUUUAUAUAGUAUUUUAUUUAUAUAUAGAAAUAUUAUUAUAUAAUAUUUUAUUUAUAAAUUUGUAAUUAUUUAUUAAUAUUUUUAAAUAUAUAACUCUUAUAUAUUAUUAAUAUAUAUUAUUAUAAUUUUAAAUAUAUUUAAUCUAUAUAUAUAAAUUAUAAUAAUAAUAUGUAUAAUAUAUUAAUUAUUAUAUAUUUAUUAUAUAGCCGAAUUUUUGAUCCCGAAUUUUUAAUUGGUGAACGUAUAAUACCCGUAUAAAUCACGUAUUCGAAUAAUUGCCGAAUCCAUUUUUUAGCUGUAUUUUUCAACGAAUUUAAAAAUUAAAAGAUAAAUUUUAUCCGAAUUAUAUCCGUACCGAAUUUUUGCCGAAUCCGAAUUAACUAACUAUGCCUCUAGCCACCAAGGUUGGUUUAGCUGUGAUCGAUCUCAUUAGUUCAUCUGCUCGCUCUCGACGUGCUUAAUUAAUUAAUUAAUUGAUAUUUGAAGGGUAAAUAAGAAAAGUAUUUGCUAUAUGAAGGGUAUAUAAGAAAAAUUAGUUACGGUACAAGGGUAUAUUGGAUGGGCAAAAUGGUAAUUUUUCAUAGAUAACGGCAACGCUCACUAACAGAAUUUAACUCCAGGGGUAUAUUAGAAAGAAGUUGGAACAUAAGAAGGGUAUUUUCAAUAUUAGCCAUCUAAGAGGGGUAAAUAAGAAAACCGAGAACUUUUCAGGGGUAUAUAGACAAUUGCCCCAUAAUAAUAAAAGAAUAUCAAGUAUAUUUUUGUGUACCUUACUUACCAUAUCCACCAAAGGUCCCUCACUGUUGGCGGCAGGGAUGGGCUCGACGACGCCUUCUCCGGCAAUGGUGAUAGCGACAACGAUGAUGAUCCAUUCGGCCACGGCAGAGAGGGGAGGUGGGCGUGCAUUAGUAAGAGAGAGGGAGGCAAUGAUGCAUAGGAAAAAAAUGAGGGAGAGAGAAUUGAUGAAUUAAUUGGAGAUAGAGAAAUGAGGAUUGUAGAUAGCAACGGAUUGUUUGGAUACAUUAACUGGAAGUCUGGUGAAGGAACGGGAAAGGGUCAUGAUGAAUUAAUCGGAGAUAGAGAUAUGAGAAUUGUAGAUGACAGUGGGACCAUUUAGAUGCAUUAAUUAGAAGUUUGGUAGUACUAUAAAUAAAUUUUAACUUAUUCGUGUUGCGGUACUUAAUUUAUUAUUAUUAUAUUAUCUAUUAAACAUAAUGAAUUCACAAUGUUUCUUGCCGCAUGGCAAGAAACCCUUCAUUCUUAGGUUAAUAGAUAAUAUCUAUCUCUUAUAUGAAUCCUCAAUAUAAAAUUUACGUUUCUUCUCAACUUCUAAAUGCGUAACCCUUCACCUCUCCAUAUUUACUUACAUGCAUUAUAUUUCACCAAUUAGUGAGCUUUGUAACUCCAAUCCACUCCCCUCCACUAUUAAUCCUCACUUCUAAAUGCUAUGCUAAACCCUUCAUCUCUCCACAUUUAAUUGCAUGGAUCAUAUUCUAUCAAUUAGUGAGCUUUGUAAUUCUAAUCCACUCCCCUCCACCAUUAAUCUCCACUUCUAAAUGCUCAACCCUUCACCUCUCCACAUUUAAUUACAUGCAUUAUAUUUCAUCAAUUAGUAAGCUUUGUAACACCAAUCUACUCCCCUCCACCAUUAAUCCCCUCACCCUUUCUUUCUUGCAUGACAUGUUAUUUUUCAUGCAAAAAGAAACAUUAUCAUCUAAUCUCUCACCCCACACUCAUCUCCUUCUCUCUAUCUCAUUGUGUUACCAAAGAUUAUGAGGAUGAUAAAGAAGAAGAACAUGCGAAGAACGUUGUCUCCUUCAAAAAAUAUCGUCCUGUAAAGUCCAGCCGCGGCCCAUAUAAGUGCUUUCUGGGCUGGUCUGCACCGGAGCCGUCGCUCGCCGUGAACCGUCGCCGCCUCGGUUGCCUCCUCACACGGCUCGCACGCGCCCGCAACUAGGCCGAGGGGAGCGCCGUCCUAGCCUCCUCUUCGCGGCAACGUUGCGCGGGAGCUCGCUUCUUAAGAAUCGCAGGAACUUCUUGGUAAAUCAAAUUGUUUAAGAAUAAGAAUUUCUGUGGUUGAUGUGAUGACAAGGUUGUAUCGGUUUAGAUAUCGCAGUUUGGUGAUGCAGAUGAGGUGUUUGUUCAUAGGUUACAAUAGAAAUCCAGAAAUGACUCGGCGCGCGGAGCAACUACCAGCUGAAGAUUAAGAAGAUGUAUGAGAUUUGGAUGAGUAAGAGAAGUGCUCCAAAAAAUAUUAAUUUUUUUAAGAUUGAUGUUUUUUGUUUUAUUUUCAUAUUAUGAUCAUUUUUUUGAGCAGACACUGUUGUGGGCAAAAUUUCUUUAGUAGAUUAAAAAGUAUGAUGCGGAGAUUGGAGCCUGAGAUGCCAACCAAAAUUUUCUUAAGCCAGAUACGUUAAGUUAUUAUUUAUGUAUUUCAUAUGCUUCUAGCUAUUAUUUUAUUUUUUUAACAACUGAAUUUAGUCAUGCAAAUUGACUGUAAUUAACAUGAUAUAGCUUCCUAUAAGCUGUAAAUAUAAAUUUUAUUAAAAUAUUAAAAAUUUAUUUUUAUUAUCUACCCGCUGCAUCGCGCGGGUCUCUACACUAAUAACAUUUAUUUGGAAAAAAAAAAAUACU
rnacentral:lncRNA from 1 species